AAAAAGGAAAAAAAAAUAAAGAAAAAAGGGGUGAAAAAAAGCCACAAAAGCCCCUGAAACUUUAUGAAGCUUCUGAGCUAAAAAAAAAAUUGUGAGAGAGGGUAUGCAUAUUCUCCAAAUGACUUUCAAGGCAAGAUCUCCUUUAGUAAGAUAUUUACGCGGCGAGAGCACAUCUUCCUCCGGCUCCUGCCUUCCUCAGGCUCACCUCUCUCUCCCCGAUGCGUGUCUGGCUGGGGACAUCAUUGCCCUACAGGCUGAGAAAGGGGGGCGUUUCGGGACGGAGGUGGAGGGGCAAUGACAAGGCUCUGAGCUGGGCUGCUUUGAGCGUGGAUGGUUCUUGCCUCCUGUGUAGUCAUCUUUUUGGCAGCCUCCAUACAGCCCGGGAGAGAAGAAAGUUAUGAUGACCAAGAGCUCCUUUUUCCCUUUCGAGUUUUCUCUCUCUCACUCUUUUUUUUUUUUUUUUUUUUUUUAAUUUUAGCCCAGGGAGCGGUUUGGGCUGUCAGAUGUGUUCAGGGAAGGACGGAGAGCAGCCGGGCGAUGACUUUCCCGGGAUGCUGGCCCGGCGUUUGGCUCCACGCGCGACGUCGGGCCCGGCCGGCGGAGCAGCCCGUGCAGGGCAGCCGGCCAGCAGCUCUCCGGGCACAGCCCGCCGCACCGGGACACACAGGGCGGGUGUGACAGCGGCAGGGAAAUCGUGGAAAAAGUUCGGCCUUGUCAAGCCACCGAAAUACUCCCUUUGAAGAGGCAGUGCUGUGAGCCGGGCUCCGAGCGCCCUGCGGUGGCUGCGCUGCCUUCAGCGGCAGCUUGUGCAGCCGGGGAAGCCCCUCUGCUCCUCACACCCGGCCGAGCCCAUCGCUCACGCCCCCCCGGGCCAGUCGUCGCUUUGGGUUUUUCGGGCUUUGUCCCGUGUGUUCAAAUAUCAAUAGAGCUGUGAGGGAGUUGGGUGAGGAGAUGAGGGUACAGGGGGCCCUGCUCACUUCUGGGGUGAGAUGAGGGUUACCUACACCCAGGGGAAGGGAAGGAGGGAGGGAAAGACACCCCCUCUCCCCUGUCCCGCCGCUGGCAAGGAAGUUUCGAUGUGGAGCAGAUCCGGAGCUUCCUCGGCGGCCGUGCUCAUCCCAGAGCGGCCAUCCCCGCACACCCGGCAGCUCCCCGGGUAAUCAAACUGCUAUUAAAACCUAAUUUAUGUUCGGUGGUAAUAAUAUUACGUAAAAAAAAAUUUAUUAAAAUCAUUGGCAUAUGCCGCCUGCCUCUUGGAGACAUCCGUGGGAAAUACAGCUGAGAGGAUCCCUCCUUGUCCUGCCGGCCUUCCCAUAGCUGAAAAACCAUACGGGGGUCCCACUUCAGAGCCAACCACCGUCUGCCCAAAUCCCCUCCCGGGCCCAGAGGUGCACGAACAGCCCUGCCCAAGGGCCACCAACCCAGCUCUGCCAUCCCCUGCCCCCGUGGGCUCAGCUCCGACCGGAGAGAAGCGCUCGGGAACUGGGCUCCCCUUCUCCCUCCCCUCAGAGCCGUUCUGUCUUCAGAGGAGCCCAGGGAUGAUCCCUGAGGGGGGUAAGCGGCCUCCCUCUGGCCAAAGCUCAGGUCGUGUGGCAGCAGGGACAGUCCCCAGUCCCUCCGGCAGGGAUGCCUGUCCUCCGGCAGGCCCAGGGAUGCGGCCGUGGCGGCCGUGGCAGUGAGUAAGCUCCCCCUCCUUCCCUGUCCUACCCAGGCUGGCCUUGAACUUGACCCUCGCCUUUGCGCAUCCUGCCCGCAGCCCCUCUCCACCCGCCUCCCUCGUGCCCUGACCCUGGCCCGGCCCUGCCACGCUUAAAGGAGAGCGGGAAGUUAUCAGGUUCAGGGGUUGGGGCUUUUUAGGGGGUAGAGCAGCCAAGAUCCCUCUCACAGCCUUGUGUGAGGGUGGCCCGCUGGCCCCGAAGUCCUCCUCUUCGCCCCUCUCCUUUGCCCACCUCGAAACCGUCAACCCCAAACCCCUCCCUCUCCCCAGCUUUGCCUCCCACGCUGAACCUGCACUUGCCAAAUCUCCUUGCCCUGGCCCUGAAGACAGCUUGGGAACCAAUCUGGAGGGAGGCCUGAGGCUUCCCCAGCAGUCCCGAGCCUGCCCUGGCAUUCCACAAUCCCCUCGUGCCCAGCCACAGCCAGCGGGUGCCCGGCCGGUGGCCCGCGCUCCCCGACGGCUCUGCCCCGACGGCUCCCGGGCCGCCUCGGCCCACGGCCCCCGCCGUCGGCGAGCAGCGGGAGGCACGGCGCUGCCCCGCUGUCGGCACCCCGUGCCCAGCUGUGGCAGCCCCACUUGGCCGCCUGUCCUGCGGUGGUGCGAUUCUUCCUUUAUACGGUGAAAAGCAGCAUGGAGGGGUGGGUUUAGUUUUUAUCGUUAUUAUUAAUAAUGAAAUCCUCUCCCAACUCUUCCUGCGGACCCCCUGAAAAGACGGAUUGAUUUCCCUGGGAAUUACUCUCUCUUCUCAAGCCAAAAAAUUUGAGGGUCCGUCCAUAAAACAGGCUUUGUCCCUCGCACACGCAAUUGGAGAGCAAUUCAGGGCUCUGCUGUCACCUGCCCUCGCUCUGCUUCACCUGGCUUGGCUGCUCAGUGGCUUUGGGUUGCAGCCGGUGGUGGCAGGAAAAAAACCCGAACCCAAACCCAAAGGUAAACCAACCUCCCAACGAGCAAACAGACAUGACAACGGCCCAGACCGGAAUAGAAUAAAAUGCAGGAGCUCUCGCCCGAAUCCGAGCGUGGAGCGGCUCCCGAGCCUGCCGGUGCCGGCGGGGCUCCGCAGCGGGCAAGGGGCUGCCCCUGCACGGCCAACCCCCGCCGCCGGUGCCGGGGGGCAGCAGACCGGGCUGCAGCCACUCCGUUUGGCUCUGACCAGACCUCCCCAAACCCGUAUCAGCCUUUUAAGUUUCUCCUUUGUUUUCAGAAACUCGUACACAUUUCCUGCCCGCUAUGAAGACAUAGCCGGCUCCCCCAAACCUCUCCCCAGACACAAGUCACGCUAAACGUGCUCCCGGGCACAGCGAGAAUUUAUUUUCUGGACAGUUUAUCUGUCUUUAAUACUUUUGGGAGAGAGAAAAGAAGAAAGGAAAAGAGAAGAAGAAGGAGAAGAACAAGACGACCGGGUGAGGGAAGACCUUCACUAGAGGUUUCAUGUCUUUAAUAAACACUUCAAAGUGGCUGCCUAA